GGAAACGAUAGCUAAUACCGCAUAAAAUGGAUUAUCGCAUGAUAAUGCAUUGAAAGGUGCAAAUGCAACACUACCAGAUGGACCUGCGUUGUAUUAGCUAGUUGGUGGGGUAACGGGCUCACCAAGGCGACGAUACAUAGCCGACCUGAGAGGGUGAUCGGCCACACUGGGACUGAGACACGGCCCAG
rnacentral:rRNA from 1 species